rnacentral:rRNA from 1 species
CUACGGGUGGCUGCAGUGAGGAAUAUUGCACAAUGGGGGGAACCCUGAUGCAGCAACGCCGCGUGGAGGAUGACGCAUUUCGGUGUGUAAACUCCUUUUAUCUGUCAAGAAAAUGACGGUAGCAUAUGAAUAAGCACCGGCUAACCCCGUGCCAGCAGCCGCGGUAAUACGGAGGGUGCAAGCGUUACUCGGAAUCACUGGGCGUAAAGGACGCGUAGGCGGGUUGGAAAGUCAGGUGUGAAAUCCUACAGCUUAACUGUAGAACUGCACUUGAAACUUCUAAUCUAGAGUAUGGGAGGGGGAGAUGGAAUUAGUGGUGUAGGGGUAAGAUCCGUAGAUAUCACUAGGAAUACCUAAAGCGAAGGCGAUCUCCUGGAACAUUACUGACGCUAAGGCGUGAAAGCGUGGGGAGCAAACAGGAUUAGAUACCCCUGUAGUC